rnacentral:rRNA from 1 species
GGUCAAGUUAUUAAGGGUGCAGGGCGGAUGCCUUGGCACUAGGAGCCGAUGAAGGACGUGAUAAGCUGCGAUAAGCUUCGGGGAGUUGCACGUAAACUUUGAUCCGAAGAUUUCCGAAUGAGGAAACUCACUUAGAGUAAUGUCUAAGUAUCAUUAAGUGAAUACAUAGCUUAAUGAGGGGAACUCAGGGAACUGAAACAUCUAAGUACCUGAAGGAAGAGAAAGAAAUUCGAUUCCGUAAGUAGCGGCGAGCGAACGCGGAUUAGCCCAAACCAAUAAAGUUUUCUUUAUUGGGGUUGCGGACAUAUCAUAACGAAGAGGUAUCGUAAUUGAAGAGGUUUGGAAAGACCCACCACAGAAGGUAAUAGUCCUGUAUGUUAAACGAGAAGACUUUAGAUAUGAUC